rnacentral:rRNA from 1 species
CCUACGGGGCGCAGCAGUGAGGAAUAUUGGUCAAUGGACGAGAGUCUGAACCAGCCAAGUAGCGUGAAGGAUGACUGCCCUAUGGGUUGUAAACUUCUUUUAUAUGGGAAUAAAAUGUUCCACGUGUGGGAUUUUGUAUGUACCAUAUGAAUAAGGAUCGGCUAACUCCGUGCCAGCAGCCGCGGUAAUACGGAGGAUCCGAGCGUUAUCCGGAUUUAUUGGGUUUAAAGGGAGCGUAGGUGGAUUGUUAAGUCAGUUGUGAAAGUUUGCGGCUCAACCGUAAAAUUGCAGUUGAAACUGGCAGUCUGGAGUACAGUAGAGGUGGGCGGAAUUCGGGGUGUAGCGGUGAAAUGCUUAGAUAUCACGAAGAACUCCGAUUGCGAAGGCAGCUCACUGGACUGCAACUGACACUGAGGCUCGAAAGUGUGGGUAUCAAACAGGAUUAGAUACCCUAGUAGUC